rnacentral:rRNA from 1 species
GAUGAACGCUGGCGGCGUGCCUAAUACAUGCAAGUCGAGCGAACAGACGAGGUGCUUGCUCCUCUGACGUUAGCGGCGGACGGGUGAGUAACACGUGGAUAACCUACCUAUAAGACUGGGAUAACUUCGGGAAACCGGAGCUAAUACCGGAUAAUAUAUUGAACCGCAUGGUUCAAUAGUGAAAGACGGUUUUGCUGUCACUUAUAGAUGGAUCCGCGCCGCAUUAGCUAGUUGGUAAGGUAACGGCUUACCAAGGCGACGCUGCGUAGCCGACCUGAGAGGGGGAUCGGCCACACUGGAACUGAGACACGGUCCAGACUCCUACGGGAGGCAGCAGUAGGGACUCUUCCGAAAUGGGCGAAAGCCUGACGGAGCAACGCCGCGUGAGUGAUGAAGGUCUUCGGAUCGGAAAACUCUGUUAUGAGGGAAGAACAAAUGUGUAAGUAACUAUGCACGUCUUGACGGUACCUGAUCAGAAAGCCACGGCUAACUACGUG